UCUCUAAAAGACUAAAAAACUACAACAUUGGACUGCUUUACGGCAUACGUCACAUCCCACCUCCACUUUCAGAAGACGAGGCAGGUAAACAAAGUUACAAGUGAAGGAAAGCUUCAAAUAGCCUAACGGUCAUGGCUGAAGCAACAAG